UUAUGGUCAUAUCGCGUUGAAACAGCGGUUCCUGUACGAUCACUGAAGGUAAGUAACGUCGAGCCUGGUCUUUACGUAGAUGGGUGACCGCUUGAGAAUACCAGGCGCUGUAAG